UGCAUUUUUUGGUAAGACGAUGUUAACAAAAGUUGUUCGCCUUGAUGAGAGCUACAACUUUGCUUAAUAUCCUUUUAACAAAUUAUGCGUAUUUAAGAAGAUAGGUCCGCGCAUGCGCAGAACGUAACUCCUUACGCUUGCAUUUUUUGGUAAGACGAUGUUAACAAAAGUUGUUCCCCUUGAUGAGGGCUACAACUUUGCUUAAUAUCCUUUUAACAAAUUAUGCG
rnacentral:miRNA from 1 species